UCUCUCCACACUCUCGUUUUGUUCUGUUGCGUAGGACCCUACGGCUGGUUUUGUUCUUUGGCUUCCUCCAGUCGUCUGCAGAAAGUUUGUUGCCGUGUAGAGUUCCCUGGACGGCAGCUGAAGAAAGCAGCUGGUCAAGCCUGUUGAUUUCUUCUGGCACUUGGUGGUCUGCUGCAAAGAAGUCAAUAAUGGAUCACUCAGCCUAAGCACAAACUCUGUGAGCAGACACAUGCCACCAGAGUUCUGCCUACACACUGAACCCAAUCAAUCGCUGCAGUGCAUGGCGUUGACUAUUGGCAGAACCUGGGCUUGAUGUCUGUGGAUGGAAUGUGUGG